GAUGAAGAACGUAGCGAAAUGCGAUAAGUAAUGUGAAUUGCAGAAUUCAGUGAAUCAUCGAAUCUUUGAACGCACAUUGCGCCCCCUGGUAUUCCGGGGGGCAUGCCUGUCCGAGCGUCAUUACAACCCUCAAGCUCAGCUUGGUGUUGGGCCCCGCCGCCCCGGCGGGCCCUAAAGUCAGUGGCGGUGCCGUCCGGCUCCGAGCGUAGUAAUUCCUCUCGCUCUGGAGGUCCGGUCGUGUGCUCGCCAGCAACCCCCAAUUUUUUUCAGGUUGACCUCGGAUCAGGUAGGGAUACCCGCUGAACUUAAGCAUAUCAAUAAGCGGAGGA
rnacentral:misc_RNA from 1 species